GUGCUGUCAUUUCCACGAGCUGUAGGAACAACAGGAUAAUUAUUUUUUCCCAAAAUGGAAUAGCAAAGAAGAUUGUUUAAAUGCAUUUCACAGGAUUGAUUGGUUCUUGGGGGAGAACAAGAUUGGAAGUAGAGACCAGUUAGGAGACUGGGCUAAGUCUUGUACAAAUUGAAAUAAUUUAAGAAGAUAUUAAAAUAAAGCCAGCAAAUCCUGACGGAAGGAGGCGAUAUUGGGAAAGUUCUGUGACAUGUUACAAAAACUUAUUUCCAAAUAAUUUCCCAUGUAACCUUGAUCACUACAUUAUACCAGCUGAGGGGUAAGAUAACCACAAGCAUGUAUGUUAUUAUUACUUUUCCUUCACUUUAACAGUGCUGCUAGUUCAGAUCGCCUUAAUUUCUAUCAAAUAGCUCUCAGACCAAUUAGGAGUGUCUGCCCUGCACACAGACCAGUGGAAUUGAAUAGAAAACCCAGAAAUAAGCCCACAUAGUUAUGGACAACUAAUCUUUGACAAAGGAGUAAAGAAUAUGCAAUGGAACAAGGACAGUUUGUCAAUAAAUGGUGCCGGGAAAACUGGACUGCUACAUACAAAAGAAGGAAGCUAGACUACUACCUCAUACCAUGCACAAAGCCAAGUCAAAAUGGAUAAAAGGCCAGAGUGUAAGACCUGGAACCAUAAAAUAUAUAGAAGAAAAUAUAAGCAAGACACUAUACGACAUACAUCUCAGUAACAUCUUUGAAGAUGGAGGGGAAGGAAAAGGGAUCAAAACAGGGGAGAAAAGAGCAGAAGGAACUAUGGUGACAAUGGGUGAAUUGGUGGUGGGAAUUUUAUAGGGAAUAUACAAUGAUGCA